AUUGAACGCUAACGGCAUGCUUAACACAUGCAAGUCGAACGGCAGCACAGUUGUAGCAAUACAAUGGGUGGCGAGCGGCGGACGGGUGAGUAAUACAUAGGAAUCUGCCUUGUAGUGGGGGAUAACCCGGGGGAACUCGGGCUAAUACCGCAUAAUCUUUACGAAGCAAAGUGGGGGACCGUAAGGCCUUACGCUAUAAGAUGAGCCUAUGUCGGAUUAGCUAGUUGGUGGGGUAAAGGCCUACCAAGGCAACGAUCCGUAGCUGGUCUGAGAGGAUGAUCAGCCACACUGGAACUGAGACACGGUCCAGACUCCUACGGGAGGCAGCAGUGGGGAAUAUUGGACAAUGGGCGAAAGCCUGAUCCAGCAAUGCCGUGUGUGUGAAGAAGGCCUUCGGGUUGUAAAGCACUUUUAGUGGAGAAGAAAACUCGAUCUCUAAUAUAGGUUGAGGCUGACGGUACCUUGAUAAGAAGCACCGGCUAACUACGUGCCAGCAGCCGCGGUAA
rnacentral:rRNA from 1 species